GCUUGUGAGCGCCACAGGAUAUAUAGAAGCCAAGAGCUUGCAAGCUAAAGAACUGUGAACCACGGCACUGCACCGCACCACUACGGAUGGGGAACUGUCUCCCUUGCGGGUCGUGCUUUGGCCUCUGCCCAGAGAAGUGCACGUCGUGCUGCCCAGAGAAGUGCCCGCUGUGCGAGCUCCAUAACCUCAGUUUGUGCAACAACUGCUGCACUUUCAACUGUAGUCGUGGCCAUCCAGGGGGUCACACCUUGGUGCCGGUUGAGAAGGACGAGGGGACGCAAAAGACCCAAGAUGCUUGAUGGCCCUUGAGUGUGACCAGAUGUUCUGGACGCGUGCUAUUUCUCAUAUUAUAUAUUGUUGUUAUUAGCUUCUCAGUCAGAUUUGUGGUAUAUACAGCUUUUGUAGUAGACAGCACGUGAAGAUGAAUACAAUUAUUGUAACAUCCCUAUAUUUGGAAA